ensembl:lncRNA
AAAAGGAGAAGUAGUCAGUAUGAGGAAAUUAUUUUGAUGAAGAAAUAAAUAGAUGCAGUGAAAGUCUGUCCAGCAUGAAUCACAUGAUACACGUGUCAGUUUUUUGAAUGUUAAUUCCUAUUUUUGAAGCGUCAAACAAACAGUAUAUAAGCACUGAUCUUAGUGCUGUUUAGCACCUUCUCACUGGAAGGCUGAAGCUAUCGGUCGGUGCUGAAAUGAAAUCUACUCUACAAAUAUUCUACAUAUUCUCCAGAAGGUCUGCAACAAAAUCUGUUCUAUCCUAUUUUUUAAUGAUGUCUUGAUGUCUUCUGUUUUUCACAGAGAUAUUAAAGAUCACCAUGAGGCUGCUGACUGUGUUUGUGUUUCUUUGUGUAAUGGUCCCUCUGAUCAUUACUGCUCGUGAGUAUUAAAGUUUAUUGUACAUAAUGUGUGUGUAUGUCUGUAUGUAUUCAUAAAAAUGACAGUACAAUAUAAUAAAUGGAAAUUUAACAAUCAAAGUCAAGAUCUGAUUUUCUAAUAUAAUUUUAACUUUUUAAUUUAAAUUUUUAUUCCAGAAAAAUCGGGCAGCAGUGGGGCAGAGAAUAAUCCACAAGGUUGGUCAACAGUUUAAAAACUCACACUAAAAUAAUCACAGCUCUGUUUCGCUGAACGGAACAGCAACACAUCAAUGUGCUACAAAGUUUGUUGUACAAAUCUUGUGUUAUUUAAAUAUUAUGCAUUAUAAUGGAAAAUUAAAUCUAAAAUUAUAUGUUUAAUAUCAUAAAAUAUCCAAUUAAAUGUAUACAUUUGAAAAUUCAUUGUGUGUCCAUAGAAUAAAAAAAGAAAGAACACCAUGCAAAUACAAAAAAAUUACAAAAUGUUUUCACAGAUACAGAAAAUUCAUGAAUUUUUACUAGAGUUUAAUUUGCUUGUCUUCAGAAGAGCAAGCUGUUGACAAGAGGAUCCUGUGGUAUUGGCGCAAAAACUUAUCGUUAUGUUAGAUGGCGAUGGGUAUGGAGAAAGCGAUGGGGGAAAGACGUGAACGAAUAAUAUAUAUACGCUCACCACUGAUACCGAUUUUGUCUGGCUCUGAAAAAGAAGAUGAUUCCUGGUCUUCCAUGAAAAUGGUCCAUCAGACAGAGAAGCAAAUACUUUCAUCCAACCCCCUGAACUAUCAGUUUCCCCUUUUACAUCUUUACUUAUUUUCUUUCGCUGUAUUGCUGCAUAAAGAAUGAAGCAACAAGUGACACAAACUGGAGUCGACCGGACUGUCUCUUUUAAUAACAAAAACUAUUCAUUUCUGUUCUUAUUAUCUUCAUCAUUAAACUCUUAAGCAUUAAAUGAAAUUGGUCUCUGAGUCUGUCACAUGUCACCUUUUUUAUUGGUCUAAACCCAAACACCAAAUUUGUUUUUCAUCUAUCUUCGUUUUAAAAUACCUAAAUAGAAAAUAACAAGUCUGACCUGCUAAUAUCUGACUGAGCUCAAAGCAUUUACUAAGAUCCUAAACAAUAUCCUGAAUAAAAUAUUAAGUUGGUCUAAUGAUAAUUUCCAGAAUUGAUCUCAGCUACUGUUUGAUAUGCAAGUAAACAAAGCAGAUGAUAAAAGAAAAAGGACUCAUAAAAUACCUUUUCAAAAGGACACAUUUUAUUUUUGUCUUCAUUGAUACAAAUACAUUGUUGUCAUAUUUGACAACAAUAAGGAGAACAGUGGUUUUCCUCCCAACUUUUGACCAAUCACAGCAGGCACAGCAGCCUUUGUCUCUGAGCCAGAGAGAAAGAGCUCCAUGGAGUUGUGUAAAAUAAUCUGAAAUUCUAACCAUUUGAUAAUAAAUUGUGAAAACUUG